UCUCUUUCUAUCAUAGUGCAUACUCGUGGUUGAAGUUAGAUAUUGAGAAUGUUGUGGUUGUCCACUGUAAGGCUGGAACGAACAAGGUUGAUGAUUUCUAGUCUUCUAUUAUUCUUGAAGUUCUUUCCAAUUGCUGAGGAGUCAAUGGAUUACUAUAAUCAGAAAUGAUGUGUUGAUGGAAAAAGACUUGUUCUGCCCAGUCAGAUUGGAAGCUGUGAAACAUUUUGGUCCUGGUCCUAGUGUUCCUCACAGCCAUACCAAGCCUUAUGUACGAUCUAAGGGAAGGAAGUUUGAGAGGGCUAGAGGAAGAAAGAACAACAAAGGACUUAGUGUUUAAGUUGUAUUGUUUCUGUAUUUUUCUACCAUUUUUAGUUUUG